rnacentral:rRNA from 1 species
GGGUCAGUAGGUUGGUCGUGCCACCGGUACGUACUGGUCUCACUGAUUCCUCCUCCCUGAAGAACCGUAGUGCCAUUAAUUCGGUGUUGCGGGGAAACAGGACUGUUACUUUGAAAAAAUUAGAGUGUUUAAAGCAAGCUAACGCUUGAAUACAUUAGCAUGGAAUAAUGAAACAGGACGAUCGAUCCUAUUUUGUUGGUUUCUAGGAUUGACGUA